AGAGUUUGAUCAUGGCUCAGGACGAACGCUGAGCGGCGUGCCUAAUACAUGCAAGUAGAACGCUGAAGAGAGGAGCUUGCUCUUCUUGGAUGAGUUGCGAACGGGUGAGUAACGCGUAGGUAACCUGCCUUGUAGCGGGGGAUAACUAUUGGAAACGAUAGCUAAUACCGCAUAACAAUAGGUGACACAUGUCAUUUAUUUGAAAGGGGCAAUUGCUCCACUACAAGAUGGACCUGCGUUGUAUUAGCUAGUAGGUGAGGUAACGGCUCACCUAGGCGACGAUACAUAGCCGACCUGAGAGGGUGAUCGGCCACACUGGGACUGAGACACGGCCCAGACUCCUACGGGAGGCAGCAGUAGGGAAUCUUCGGCAAUGGGGGCAACCCUGACCGAGCAACGCCGCGUGAGUGAAGAAGGUUUUCGGAUCGUAAAGCUCUGUUGUAAGUCAAGAACGAGUGUGAGAGUGGAAAGUUCACACUGUGACGGUAGCUUACCAGAAAGGGACGGCUAACUACGUGCCAGCAGCCGCGGUAAUACGUAGGUCCCGAGCGUUGUCCGGAUUUAUUGGGCGUAAAGCGAGCGCAGGCGGUUUGAUAAGUCUGAAGUUAAAGGCUGUGGCUCAACCAUAGUUCGCUUUGGAAACUGUCAAACUUGAGUGCAGAAGGGGAGAGUGGAAUUCCAUGUGUAGCGGUGAAAUGCGUAGAUAUAUGGAGGAACACCGGUGGCGAAAGCGGCUCUCUGGUCUGUAACUGACGCUGAGGCUCGAAAGCGUGGGGAGCGAACAGGAUUAGAUACCCUGGUAGUCCACGCCGUAAACGAUGAGUGCUAGGUGUUGGAUCCUUUCCGGGAUUCAGUGCCGCAGCUAACGCAUUAAGCACUCCGCCUGGGGAGUACGACCGCAAGGUUGAAACUCAAAGGAGUUGACGGGGGCCCGCACAAGCGGUGGAGCAUGUGGUUUAAUUCGAAGCAACGCGAAGAACCUUACCAGGUCUUGACAUCCCGAUGCUAUUUCUAGAGAUAGAAAGUUACUUCGGUACAUCGGUGACAGGUGGUGCAUGGUUGUCGUCAGCUCGUGUCGUGAGAUGUUGGGUUAAGUCCCGCAACGAGCGCAACCCCUAUUGUUAGUUGCCAUCAUUCAGUUGGGCACUCUAGCGAGACUGCCGGUAAUAAACCGGAGGAAGGUGGGGAUGACGUCAAAUCAUCAUGCCCCUUAUGACCUGGGCUACACACGUGCUACAAUGGUUGGUACAACGAGUUGCGAGUCGGUGACGGCAAGCUAAUCUCUUAAAGCCAAUCUCAGUUCGGAUUGUAGGCUGCAACUCGCCUACAUGAAGUCGGAAUCGCUAGUAAUCGCGGAUCAGCACGCCGCGGUGAAUACGUUCCCGGGCCUUGCACACACCGCCCGUCA
rnacentral:rRNA from 1 species